rnacentral:rRNA from 1 species
AUUGAACGCUGGCGGCAGGCCUAACACAUGCAAGUCGAGCGGAUGAAGGGAGCUUGCUCCUGGAUUCAGCGGCGGACGGGUGAGUAAUGCCUAGGAAUCUGCCUGGUAGUGGGGGAUAACGUCCGGAAACGGGCGCUAAUACCGCAUACGUCCUGAGGGAGAAAGUGGGGGAUCUUCGGACCUCACGCUAUCAGAUGAGCCUAGGUCGGAUUAGCUAGUUGGUGGGGUAAAGGCCUACCAAGGCGACGAUCCGUGACUGGUCUGAGAGGAUGAUCAGUCACACUGGAACUGAGACACGGUCCAGGCGCCUACGGGAGGCAGCAGUGGGGAAUAUUGGACAAUGGGCGAAAGCCUGAUACAGCCAUGCCGCGUGUGUGAAGAAGGUCUUCGGAUUGUAAAGCACUUUAAGUUGGGAGGAAGGGCAGUAAGUUAAUACCUUGCUGUUUUGACGUUACCAACAGAAUAAGCACCGGCUAACUUCGUA